AGAGGUCUAGUUUGGAGCCUAGGGGACACAUACAAGUUUGCCUGCGUAUAAAGCCCUUUACAGCACUGGAAAGAGCAAAUGGAUCACAGGGGUGUGUUUCACUUGAGGACUCAACAAGCGUUAUACUGAAACCCCCUAAGAGCUCCUGGAGUCGACCGAUUGAGAAAACUGCAGGACAGGCAAUACAGAAAUUCACCUUUUCACGAGUGUUUGGACCUGAAGCAACUCAAGAAGAAUUCUUUGAAGGUACAGUGAAGCAGCCAGUGCUAGACUUCCUAGAAGGAUGUAAUCACCUUGUUUUUACGUAUGGUGUUAGAAAUGCUGGGAAAACCUACGCAU